rnacentral:rRNA from 1 species
UAUCGGGCAAUGGGCGCAAGCCUGACCCAGCAACGCCGCGUGAAGGAAGAAGGCUUUCGGGUUGUAAACUUCUUUUAAGGGGGAAGAGCAGAAGACGGUACCCCUUGAAUAAGCCACGGCUAACUACGUGCCAGCAGCCGCGGUAAUACGUAGGUGGCAAGCGUUGUCCGGAUUUACUGGGUGUAAAGGGCGUGCAGCCGGAGAGACAAGUCAGAUGUGAAAUCCACGGGCUCAACCCGUGAACUGCAUUUGAAACUGUUUCCCUUGAGUGUCGGAGAGGUAAUCGGAAUUCCUUGUGUAGCGGUGAAAUGCGUAGAUAUUAGGAGGAACACCAGUGGCGAAGGCGGUCUGCUGGACAGCAACUGACGCUGAGGCGCGAAAGCGUGGGGAGCAAA